rnacentral:rRNA from 1 species
UACGUAGGGGGCGAGCGUUGUCCGGAUUUAUUGGGCGUAAAGCGCUCGCAGGCGGCUCGAUGCGUCGUGCGUGAAAGACCCCGGCUCAACUGGGGGGCGUCGUGCGAUACGGUCGGGCUGGAGGCCAGUAGGGGGAUGCGGAAUUCCGGGUGUAGUGGUGGAAUGCGUAGAGAUCCGGAGGAACACCAGCGGCGAAGGCGGCAUCCUGGACUGGACCUGACGCUCAGGAGCGAAAGCGUGGGGAGCGAUCCGG